GUGCCAGCAGCCGCGGUAAUACGUAGGGGGCAAGCGUUGUCCGGAUUUAUUGGGCGUAAAGAGCGUGUAGGCGGCUGGGUAGGUCCGCUGUGAAAACUCGAGGCUCAACCUCGAGAGGUCGGUGGAAACCAUCCAGCUAGAGUCCGGAAGAGGAGAAUGGAAUUCCUGGUGUAGCGGUGAAAUGCGCAGAUAUCAGGAAGAACACCCGUGGCGAAGGCGGUUCUCUGGGACGGUACUGACGCUGAGACGCGAAAGCGUGGGGAGCGAACAGGAUUAGAUACCCUUGUAGUCC
rnacentral:rRNA from 1 species